AGAAACCGAGAUUAAAUGAAAAGACGAGAAAAGGAAAAUAACAUUCCAUGGAAAAAUGCUACCAAAAGGAAAUCAAGUUCUUCUCACCCAAAACAAAAGAAAUCACAAACAAAAAACAAAACACAAAUGCGCACAAAAAAUAACACAAAUCAACAAAUAAUACCAACACAUAACAGAGAUAAUGAAAAUUGCGAUAUAGCAGACAAAAGGGAAUACGAAGUAAACUUAGAUAAGAAGUACUUCCUCAUAAACUUCUCUUGCUUCCGAGAAACCUGAAAAAUCCAGUGAUAUGCUUAGAAAUGCUUGCCAAAGAAACCAAGAUCACAUGAAAAGACCAGAAAUGGAAAUUACACUAUUCUCACCCACAAAGAAAGAAAUGAGAAAUAAAAAAUGAAACGUAAAGCGCACAAACCAAAACAUAAUGAACAUAUUCGAACUUAAUUCAAUAAUGCAUAGAUCAAGUCAACAAAUCAUACCCAAACAUAACAAAUAUAUUGAACAAUGCGAUAUAUGAAAGAACAGGGAAUACGAAGAAAACUUAUCUAAGAAGACUUUCCUCACACACUUCUCCUGCUCCCGAGAAUCCUGAAAAAUCCACUUAUAUGCUUAUUAAUGGUGGGACAAGACACCGAGAUCAGAUAAUAAGACGAGAAAAUAAAAAUAACAUCCCAUGGAAAAACACAGUUCAAAGGAAAUCAAAUACUUCUAUCAAACAAUCAAAUAAAUGACAAAUAAAAAGCCACAUAUAAAACCAACAACCAAACACUGAAAUCAAAAUAUUCUAAAUAAAUUGUAUAACGCUUACAUAAAGUCAAAAAAUAAUACCCAAACAUAACAGACAUAACGAACGAUGUGAUUUGGGAGAAUUUGAACGAAACUUACAUAAAAAGUACUUCUUCAUACACUUCACCUGGUCCCGAUUAACCUGAAAAUAUGAAGUUAUACGGUUAUAAAUUGUGGGCAAAGAAACCGAGAUUAAAUGAAAAGACGAGAAAAGCACAAUAACAUUCCAUGGCAAAAUGCUACCAAAAGGAAAUCAAGUUCUUCUCACCCAAAAUCAAACAAAUCACAAACAAAAAACAAAACACAAAUGCGCACAAAAAAUAACACAAAUAAACAAAUAAUACCAACACAUAACAGAAAUAAUGAAAAUUGCGAUAUAGCAGACAAAAUGGAAUACGAAGUACUUCCUCAUAAACUUCUCUUGCUUCCAAGAAACCUGAAAAAUCCAGUGAUAUGCUUAGAAAUGCUUGCCAAAGAAGCCGAGAUCACAUGAAAAGACCAGAAAAAUACAAAUUACACUAUUCUCACCCACAAAGAAAGAAAUGAGAAAUAAAAAAUGAAACGUAAAGCGCACAAACCAAAACAUAAUGAACAUAUUCGAACUUAAUUCAAUAAUGCAUAGAUCAAGUCAACAAAUCAUACCCAAACAUAACAGAUAUAUUGAACAAUGCG
rnacentral:lncRNA from 1 species